rnacentral:rRNA from 1 species
GGCAGCAGCUAAGAAUAUUCCGCAAUGGACGAAAGUCUGACGGAGCGACGCCGCGUGGAUGAUGAAGGCCGGAAGGUUGUAAAAUCCUUUUAUGACUGAGGAAUAAGUGAAGUGAGAGAAACGCUUCAUGGUGACUGUAGGUCAUGAAUAAGCAACGGCUAAUUACGUGCCAGCAGCCGCGGUAACACGUAAGUUGCGAGCGUUGUUCGGAAUUAUUGGGCGUAAAGGGUAUGUAGGCGGUUCUGCAAGUCUGGUGUGAAAUUCCGGGGCUCAACCCCGGGACUGCGUUGGAAACUGCGGGACUUGAAUCGCUGAGGGGCAGCCAGAAUUCCAGGUGUAGGGGUGAAAUCUGUAGAUAUCUGGAAGAAUACCAAUGGCGAAGGCGGGCUGCCAGCAGAUGAUUGACGCUGAGGUACGAAGGUGCGGGGAGCAAACAGGAUUAGAUACCCUGGUAGUCCGCACAGUCAACUAUGUACACUGGGUGUCCGGUCAUGAGACUGGGUGCCGAAGCAAACGCGAUAAGUGUACCGCCUGGGGAGUAUGCCCGCAAGGGUGAAACUCAAGGAAUUGACGG